GACGAACGCUGGCGGCGUGCUUAACACAUGCAAGUCGAACGGAAAGGCCCUGCUUUUGUGGGGUGCUCGGGUGGCGAACGGGUGAGUAACACGUGAGUAACCUGCCCUUGACUUUGGGAUAACUUCAGGAAACUGGGGCUAAUACCGGAUAGGAGCUCCUGCUGCAUGGUGGGGGUUGGAAAGUUUCGGCGGUUGGGGAUGGACUCGCGGCUUAUCAGCUUGUUGGUGGGGUAGUGGCUUACCAAGGCUUUGACGGGUAGCCGGCCUGAGAGGGUGACCGGCCACAUUGGGACUGAGAUACGGCCCAGACUCCUACGGGAGGCAGCAGGGGGGAAUAUUGCACAGUGGGCGGAAGCCUGAUGCAGCAACGCCGCGUGCGGGAUGACGGCCUUCGGGUUGUAAACCGCUUUCGCCUGUGACGAAGCGUGAGUGACGGUAAUGGGUAAAGAAGCACCGGCUAACUACGUG
rnacentral:rRNA from 1 species